AAGGGCAGCUGUACGGCUUGCUGUGCAUAGCCCCUGAUCUGACAGACAGUGCUACAGAAAAUUACCGCCUGAGCAAUCAGGUAAGGGUGAAAAGGCAGGGUAAGAGCCUACCGCGUUACUGGCAACAGAACGGCAUAAGUAAACCUCAUCUGGAGCAAAAUCGGAUAGCAGUUUGGAUUCCGGCCUUAUACUGCGGGUAGGUUGCUGGAGGCACCUGGUGACAGGUGUCGCGGAUAGAUGGUCACGCAUUACUUUGUAAUGUUCCAGAACCCGGCUUACCAUAUCCUUAGCCUU
rnacentral:RNase_P_RNA from 1 species